UUUAGUUUAACAUAUUUUAAUGCGAAGGGUUGUAAACUCUUUUAAGGCUGUGACCCACUAGGA
rnacentral:tRNA from 1 species